CGAAGGGGCUAGCGUUGUUCGGAAUCACUGGGCGUAAAGGGUGCGUAGGCGGAUUCUUAAGUCAGGGGUGAAAUCCCGAGGCUCAACCUCGGAACUGCCUUUGAUACUGGGGAUCUUGAGUCCGGAAGAGGUGAGUGGAACUGCGAGUGUAGAGGUGAAAUUCGUAGAUAUUCGCAAGAACACCGGUGGCGAAGGCGGCUCACUGGUCCGGAACUGACGCUGAGGCACGACAGCGUGGGGAGCAAACAGGAUU
rnacentral:rRNA from 1 species